GACGAACGCUGGCGGCGUGCUUAACACAUGCAAGUCGAACGGAAAGGCCCUGCUUUUGUGGGGUGCUCGAGUGGCGAACGGGUGAGUAACACGUGAGUAACCUGCCCUUGACUUUGGGAUAACUUCAGGAAACUGGGGCUAAUACCGGAUAGGAGCUCCUGCUGCAUGGUGGGGGUUGGAAAGUUUCGGCGGUUGGGGAUGGACUCGCGGCUUAUCAGCUUGUUGGUGGGGUAGGGGCUUACGAAGGCUUUGACGGGUAGCCGGCCUGAGAGGGUGACCGGGCACAUGGGUACUGAGAUACGGCCCAGACUCCUACGUGAGGCAGCAGUGGGGAAUAUUGCGCAAUGGGCGGAAGCCUGAUGCAGCAACGCCGCGUGCGGGAUGACGGCCUUCGGGUUGUAAACCGCUUUCGCCUGUGACGAAGCGUGAGUGACGGUAAUGGGUAAAGAAGCACCGGCUAACUACGUG
rnacentral:rRNA from 1 species